AAGGUUCAGACAGCAGCUGCAAGGGGAGAAGGACUCAGAGCAGGAGGGAGGCGGCUGGCCCUGGAGCUCUGCUCUGCACCGCCCCCUCCCCGCUCCACCCCCGGCGGGGCGGGCCGGGCCGGGCGGCUGCGGCGCUGCGGAAGCGGAGGAGGAAGGCACAGGCCAGGCGUGCGGAGCGCCCCUGGCCGGGUCGGGGCUUAGUCCGCGUCUGCCCCUGCGCGGGGGAGGCGGGGCGCGCGGAGGAGCCCGGCCCGCUGUAAACAUCCUCCGGAGAGGCCGCCGCGGGGCUCCAUGGAGACGCGGGGGAAGCCCCCGCCGCCCAGCAGCCAGCGGGGGCCGGUGCUGCACAUCGUGGUGGUCGGGUUCCACCACAAGAAGGGCUGCCAGGUUGAAUUCUCCUAUCCUCCUCUCAUCCCAGGAGAAGGACAUGACAGCCACAGUUUACCAGAAGAAUGGAAAUACUUGCCUUUCCUUGCCUUGCCAGAUGGAGCUCACAACUAUCAAGAAGAUACUGUGUUUUUCCACUUGCCACCAAGAUGUGGAGAUCAAACCACAAUAUAUGGUGUCUCUUGCUAUAGGCAGAUUGAAGCCAAGGCACUGGAAGUGCGGCAAGCAGAUGUCACCCGAGAAACGGUACAGAAAAGUGUCUGUGUUCUAAGUCAGCUGCCUUUGUAUGGAUUACUUCAAGCAAAGCUACAGCUCAUUACUCAUGCCUAUUUUGAAGAAAAAGACUUCUCACAAAUUUCAAUUCUUAAGGAACUUUAUGAGCAUAUGAAUAGCUCUUUGGGAGGAACUACACUGGAGGGGUCACAAGUUUAUCUUGGUCUGUCUCCCCGAGAUCUUGUCCUUCAGUUUAGACACAAGAUCUUAAUUCUUUUUAAAUUGAUUCUUCUAGAGAAAAAGGUGUUGUUUUAUAUUUCUCCGGUAAAUAGACUGGUGGGAGCACUAAUGACUGUCUUGUCUCUCUUUCCUGGUAUGAUUGAACAUGGUCUUACUGACAGUUCACAGUACAGACCAAGAAAGAGUGUAUCAGAGGAUACUGGCCUGCGGGAAGUUACUCCCCCUUUAGAUGAUUAUGUUUCUGUGUCUGCUGCUGACAUUUCAAAUACAAACUCAGGAAUGGGUGAGGAAGGCAGGAAGCUAUCAGGAAACCAUGUCCAGGAGGCUCAGAAAACAGAUGUGCCUUUAUCCCAUUCUGAAAAGAAUUGCAAUGGAUCACAGUCCUCCAAUGGCACUGGACAACAUUUGAAACCUCCUUCACGCACUUCUCCAGAGUCUUCUGAAAGCGACUGGGAGACCUUGGAUCCUAGUAUUUUGGAGGAUACUAACUUGAAAGAAGAACAUGAAAAUAUGACAUCAGAACAGACUGAAAUCCUUUCAAAGGAAUGCACAAAGUCAGAAAGCCCACCAAUUACUGUACAACCUCAGGCUAAAACAGGACAUGUGGUUCUUGUUCCAGGACUGAUAUCAGGGUUGGAGGAGGACCAGUAUGGCAUGCCAUUGGCUAUUUUUACUAAGGGUUACCUUUGCUUGCCAUACAUGGCACUGCAACAGCAUCACCUCCUCUCUGAUGUAACAGUCCGUGGCUUUGUUGCGGGAGCCACCAACAUCCUGUUCCGGCAGCAGAAGCAUCUAAGUGAUGCAAUUGUAGAAAUAGAGGAAGCCCUUGUCCAAAUCCAUGAUCCAGAACUCAGGAAGAUCCUGAACCUCACAACUGCUGACCUGAGAUUUGCAGACUACUUGGUGAAGCAUGUAACUGAGAACAGGGAUGAUGUUUUCCUCGAUGGCACUGGCUGGGAGGGAGGAGACGAGUGGAUCAGGGCUCAGUUUGGUGCCUAUCUUCAUGCAUUGCUUGCUGCUGUGCAGCAGCCAGACAAUGAAAAGAUAUUGUCAGACUUCGGAACAGCCUUUGUAGCAACUUGGAAAAAUACACACAACUACAGAGUGUGGAACAGCAACAAGCAUCCUGCUCUUGCAGAGGUAAAUUCUAGCCACCCAUUCCAGGGCCAAUAUUCUGUAUCAGAUGUAAAGUUAAGAUUGUCACAUUCUGUCCAGAACAGUGAACGUGGCAAGAAAAUUGGAACUGCUAUGGUCAAUACCAGCCGGAAUGUUGUGCAAACAGGAAAAGCUGUAGGUCAAUCAGUAGGAGGGGCCUUCACAAAUGCAAAAUCAGCCAUGUCUUCGUGGCUUUCCACUUUUACCCAGUCAACACAAGGCCUCGGGGACUAAAAGUAGAGUCUGAAUACAGGCUUUGCACUCUGCUGUUGAGUAUUUCAGUUGUAUCAGUUUCUCUCAGCUGUAUAAAGACUGCUCCAAAAUGAGUAUGAACAUAAAACCAGUCCAAAGCGACUAAUGAAGUGAUACCUCAUCUUGAAGAGCUGGAGAGCCAUUUCUUCAUUGCCUGGUUUCUGGGCCACAAUAUAACUGUGAAGACACUGCCUGUAAUGACUGAGCUUUGACAUUGUCAUUUAGCACGUCCAGAGGUCACUCCAUAAUUUGGUGGCUGUUUGUGAUUCCUCUUCAACAUUUUCUCUCUCUUCCCACUUCCUGGCUGCUUGAGUGCUCUUGUAUGUGCCAAAAAGCAUGUGGAGCUGUUCUGGUGAUCAAACCUAUAGGAGCUAUAUGAAUCACAUACAAAGUCCUAAAGAGAGAGAGACUGAGUACCACUGACUUAAUGAAAUUCCGAUUGGACUCAAAUGUUCACCUUUUUUCAUCCGUCACUUGAUGUUGUAACUUUAAAAUUUUUGCACCUCUGACAUUAGUUAUUAAAAUGUAGUAACAUUUAAGAUGACCUAUCAUUUGAGACUCAAUCUUCUAGUGUAUUUCACUCAUUUCACCUUCUACAGUGUUUUAAGCAUUGUUGUAAUUUAAACUUAGUAUUUUACCUAAAUAAAAACUUCUGAUUUCAGCCAAAAAAAUAUUAGCAGAUAAACUGUUCUGUGGCAGUAUUUAAUUGUAAAAGUGAAAGUAUAAAUGCCAUUUUUAAAAAUGAAAACCUGGUAUUUGAUAACUCUACACUCAUAAUAUAUUAUAUCUGGUUGUGAUUUUGUGUGUGUGGCUUGGAAAUAAAUAUAUCAAGCCUGUUUAAAAGCUUUUACUGUCUGCUCAGAAAGCUGUUUUAUUGGAAGAACUUAUAAAUACCUAGAGAUAAGUCAUUUAAUGAGAUUAAUACUUGGCACACUGAUAGUUGUCCAUCAUUCAAUGACUGAUCUUAAGCCAUUAACCUCUGAAACUGGUGAAAUAUGAAAAUCAACGUUAGUUGUACUGAUUAUUCUUGUAGUAUCAUAACAAGGCCAACUUGUGAGAAACUGUAGCUUAUAGAGAUUGCUUUUGCAGAUUUGGGGUAAUAGGAUAGUUCAGUGUGACUUUUUGAAAUGUAAAUACUUGUUUCAUCUAUUUGUGAGCUAGUAUUUUUCCCCCACAUUUCCACAAGUCACUGAAACUGUUACGUCUCGUCAAGAGCUUUCCACUGAAGAGACGUAAAAUAAUUUUAAUGUAGAUUCAGCCUCCUAAAAAUUAACUUUAAAUUAAACAGCCUCAUAAAAAUGCAGAGAUCAUUGAGCAUUUUAGAUAUCUUGUCAAAUGUAGGAGGCUCAAAGUGACUCUCUGCAAUCAGUACAACUUGCACUGGGUUGGCAGCAGCAAUUAUCUUCCCACUUAUUUGCUUUAUAUAACAUUAAGGGUAUUUUUUUUUGUUCUUGUUUUUAAUUUCUUCAAACAUGCUAAAGAUUCUGAUCGAGGUAUAUCCUGACGCCAUUCUCAAAUAUAUAGAGUUUUUGAUAAUUUGUUUCCAUUAGAAAGGGAAAGAAAAUAACUCCCUCGAGUAACAGCUUCCAAAUCUGAAAGAGAUGCAUGCAUAAAUAAGUCUAAUAUUUUGUAAAACUUUGUUGCCUUUGUAUUUGUCUACCUUUCUACCGACUAUCUGAAAUAAAAUGUAUAUUUAAACUGUGUAAAUGACAGGGUUAUAGCUUGUUUUCCAGUAUAUUUAUAACUGAUCUCUUGCAUGUAUUAUUUUUCAGUAUUGCACAUUUUAGAAAUGUAGAGAGUGUGCACCUAUCCAUUUCAAGCCAGAAAAAAAUUCUGUACUCCACUACAGUUCCUAGUAGUUCAAGUUUUCAGAGAGAGUCCCUUCAUGGAGAUAUGAUAAAGUGCUAAGGUUUUUCAUGCUAAUAUGGAAUGAAAAUUAACAAAACAGCUUAAGUGACUCUCCAGUUUUUACUGUUUGAAUUUCUUGUUUCAUUUGUUACCAGAUACAGGAAAUAGUUUAUUAAAGAAACAUUCUGCAAAUUGUUAUAAGAAUUCAAAGUCACUGAACAACUGUCAAUUUAAAUCUGAUCACUUUAUUGGGUAUAAAGUAAUAUGUACUGCUGUAUGAACCAGUUACCAUGCACAACAUCUGAUCAUAAAACAGUUUAGUAUUCUUUGCUGCUAUUGUAGACUUUGUAAUUUUAGCUAGACAUUGUCAAAUCCUUUACCUCUGUGACUAUUUUAAAAUCAAAUCAUUGCCUAAUCAUAUACUGUGUUGAAAUUAUUCCAUUGUAUAUUUUGUUCUAAAAGUGAUAGAAAAUAAAAUUGCUCUGUUUA